AGGGUUUGAUCCUGGCUCAGAACGAACGCUGGCGGCGUGCUUAACACAUGCAAGUCGAGUGCGCGUUCCGUAGCAAUACGGGAUGGCGCACGGCGCACGGGUGCGUAACACGUGGGUAACCUGCCCUUUGGUGGGGAAUAACUCCGCGAAAGCGGAGCUAAUUCCGCAUAAGAUCCGCAAGGAUGAAAGCCGAGAGGCGCCGAUGGAGGGGCCCGCGCACGAUUAGCUAGUUGGUAGGGUAACGGCCUACCAAGGCUUUGAUCGUUAGCUGGUCUGAGAGGAUGGCCAGCCACACUGGAACUGAGACACGGUCCAGACUCCUACGGGAGGCAGCAGUGGGGAAUCUUGCACAAUGGGCGAAAGCCUGAUGCAGCGACGCCGCGUGGGGGAUGAAGCAUUUCGGUGUGUAAACCCCUUUCGAUCCGGACGAAUGCCCGCAAGGGAUUGACGGUACGGAUAUAAGAAGCCCCGGCUAACUACGUGCCAGCAGCCGCGGUAAGACGUAGGGGGCCAGCGUUGUUCAGAAUUACUGGGUGUAAAGGGUUCGUAGGCGGUGCGGCAAGUUGGGAGUGAAAUCUCUGGGCUUAACCCAGAGGCUGCUUCCAAAACUGCUGUGCUUGAGUGUGGGAGAGGCGCGUGGAAUUGCAGGUGUAGCGGUGAAAUGCGUAGAUAUCUGCAGGAACACCCGUGGCGAAAGCGGCGCGCUGGACCACUACUGACGCUGAGGAACGAAAGCUAGGGGAGCAAACAGGAUUAGAUACCCUGGUAGUCCUAGCCCUAAACGAUCAGGACUUGGGGUGCCACCCGUUCGGGUGUCGUCCCGGAGCUAACGCGUUAAGUCC
rnacentral:rRNA from 1 species